rnacentral:rRNA from 1 species
GACGAACGCUGGCGGCGUGCUUAACACAUGCAAGUCGAACGGAAAGGCCCCUUUGGGGGUACUCGAGUGGCGAACGGGAGAGUAACACGUGAGUAACCUGCCCUUGACUUCGGGAUAACAUCAGGAAACUGGGGCUAAUACCGGAUAGGAAUCCUUGCUGCAUGGUGGGGGUUGGAAAGCUUCGGCGGUUUUGGAUGGACGCGCGGCUUAUCAGCUUGUUGGUGGGGUAGUGGCUUACCAAGGCUUUGACGGGUAGCCGGCCUGGGAGGGCGACCGGCCACAUUUGGACUGCGGUACGGCCCAGACCCCUACGGGAGGCAGCAGUGGGGAAUCUUGCACAAUGGGCGGGAGCCUGAUGCAGCAACGCCGCGUGCGGGAUGACGGCCUUCGGGUUGUAAACCGCUUUCAGCAGGGGCGAAGCUUGUGGUGACGGUACCUGCAGAAGAAGCACCGGCUAACUACGUG